AUGCAAGUCGAGUGCGCGCCUGUAGCAAUACAGGUGGCGCACGGCGCACGGGUGCGUAACACGUGGGUAAUCUGCCCUUCGAUGGGGAAUAACUCGCCGAAAGGCGAGCUAAUUCCGCAUAACAUUCCGAGGACUCUGGUUCUUGGAUUCAAAGGCGUAAGUCGUCGGAGGAGGAGCCCGCGCACGAUUAGCUAGUUGGUGAGGUAAUGGCUCACCAAGGCUAUGAUCGUUAGCUGGUCUGAGAGGAUGGCCAGCCACACUGGAACUGAGACACGGUCCAGACUCCUACGGGAGGCAGCAGUGGGGAAUCUUGCACAAUGGGCGAAAGCCUGAUGCAGCGACGCCGCGUGGGGGAUGAAGCUUUUCGGAGUGUAAACCCCUUUCGACCCGGACGAAUGCCCCGCAAGGGGACUGACGGUACGGGUAUAAGAAGCCCCGGCUAACUACGUGCCAGCAGCCGCGGUAAGACGUAGGGGGCCAGCGUUGCUCGGAAUUACUGGGUGUAAAGGGUUCGUAGGCGGUGUGGCAAGUCGGGAGUGAAAUCUCUGGGCUCAACCCAGAGUCUGCUUCCGAAACUGCUGUGCUUGAGUGUGGGAGAGGCGCGUGGAAUUGCAGGUGUAGCGGUGAAAUGCGUAGAUAUCUGCAGGAACACCCGUGGCGAA
rnacentral:rRNA from 1 species